AAACUUGUAUGUAAGCUUUUAAGUUGUUACAACAGAACUAUAAGACUGAGAUGGUAGAAGCUUCGGGAAUCUUCUUGGUAUAGCUGAUAUAACAGAAUCAGUUGGUGGUGUGGCUGCUAUAACAGAAUCCGUUGCAGCUUUGGUUAUAACAGAAUCAGUUGAAGCAGUUGAACUGCUAUUCUGCUUCAGUUUAGAGUCUUCAAUAAAAUGUCAUGCUGACUGAUAUUUGUUGCAAUAUUUUUAUCGUAUAAUUUUAUUGAAGAAGGUUUCAUACUUGUGUUUGAAGGGUACAUUUCCGAACCUGAGUCGCCAAAUCCAAAGCUGCCUACUUCUAGUGAGGAGUUUUAUUGCGAAAGCAAUACCCUGGUUGCUCAAGGCCUGCUUUUCCCAGGUGGAAAUAUCGACAACUUGUGGAACAGAAACAAACCUUUUCCAAGUGAAAAAGAAUACUUAGUUGAACCUCCUGAGAAAUUAACAUGGAUAGGCGAUUUUGGAUUUUUGGCUCAAGAACCUUGGCCUGCACCUGCUCAAGAACUCUCAUGGUCUCCAGGAAAUAUUUUUGUUGAAUUGGAAUUGCCACCUGUGCAUGAAGACCCUGGCUUGCCUAAUCCACAACUACCUGAUUCAGGAGGCCUUGAACAGCUACCAGGUGAUGGAAAAAUCUACAGAACAGAACACACUAUCAAUUGCAGAACUUCAUGAUUUCUUAAAAAGUUUGUAUCACUCCCACAACUGCACUCUUCUUCUUCUUCUUCUUCUUCAUGGCACAAUGUAUGGAGGCCUAUAAAUUACUAACAAAGCUCCACUGGAGAUAUCGCACGCUCUCAUCACAUUGAGCAUUUUGUCAAUCAUUUGGUACAUUUCCAAACCUGAGACACCAAAUCCACAGCUGCCUACUUCUAGUGAGGAGGUUUAUUGCGAAAACAAUACCCUGGUUGCUCAAGGCCUGCCUUUCCCAGGUGGAAAUAUUGACAACUUCUG